rnacentral:tRNA from 1 species
GCCGAGGUAGCCAAGGUGGUCACGGCGCGUGUCUGAAAAACACGAGAUGCGGGUUCAACUCCUGCCCUCGGCA